AUGGCGUGGAUCGUCGACGGCCGGAAGUGCGUGGAGCCGUCGGAGGGCGCGCUGGACCUGUACAUGGGGAACGUGGUCACCUACACGUCCCGCGAGAGCGUGGCGGAGCUGCUGCGCGCGCCGCUGCAGGACGUGGCGGCCGCCGCGCGCGCGGCCAUGGCGUCGGUGAUGACCAGGGGCAGGUUCCAGGAGCUGGUGGACUGGGUGGAGGUGAACAAAUCGGCGUACAAGGACGGCGGGAAGUGGACGGAGGCGGUGAACCUCGGCCUCGGGAGCCCGGCGCUGGUGAUCUCGUGGCUGCUCCCGUUCGCCAUCGACGGGGACCUGGGGUUCGGGAAGCCGAGGCUGGUCCUGCCGUGGCUGCGGCACGGCCGGCUGGGGUCGGUGUCGGUGACGGUCGUGCCCUGCCCGGGCGGGGACGGGUCGUGGUUCGUGGGCGGCACGAGGCUGUGGCCGCGGCUGGUGGAGGUGAUCGAGGCCGGCCCGGAGAGCCUGCUGAAGCCGGUGACCGCGGCGAGCCUGGGGUUCGAGGCGCCCCACGGCUCUCGUCUGUGA
rnacentral:rRNA from 1 species